CAGAACUCUCCCCUGGCUGGCCAAGCGAGGAGGGGAUGUGACUGGGAACCUGGCUCUGCUUCCAUCCUGUGAAAAGCCGCUGCCAGUCAGAGCGGGCAGUAAUAAGAUAGCUGAGCCUUCUGGGUAAGGCAGCUUCCUUCAGUGGGCAGAGCACCUGCCUGGCAUGCAGAAAGUCCCAGGUUUAAUCCCCAGGUAGUGCUGUCCCCUGUCAGAAACCCUGGACAGUCACUGCCGCUCAGUGCUGACAAUACUGGGCCAUGGGCCUGAAUCCACAAUUUGUUCAUUUAAUAUGGGUUGCAGUCAAUUAAGUCCUACUCGGAGUGCACCAGUUGGAAUUAAGUUAAUCAUGGGCACAGGUUUCAGUGGGUCUACUCAGAGUUGUUGUUGUUGUUAUUUACUUAUACCCCACACGUCUGUCCGGGCCUCUCUCCAGCCACUCUGGGUGGCUUCCAGUAGGAUAUUAAAAACACAAUAAAACACCAGUCAUUAAAAACUUCCCUAAACAGGGCUGCCUUCAGAUGUCUUCUCAAAGUCAGAAAGUUGUUUAUUUCCUUGACAUCCACAGGGCGGGUGCCACUACCGAGAAGGCCCUCUGCCUGGUUCCCUGUAACCUCUUUUCUCGCAGGGAGGGAACCGCCAGAAGGCCCUCAGAGCUGGACCUCAGUGGCCAGGCUGAAUGAUGGGGGUGGAGAAGCUCCUUCAGGUAUACUGGGCCGAGGCUGUUUAGAGUAAGGUUGGCAUUGGGUACAAAAUGGCAGUGGUCAUCCCCUCAUGCAAUCGAGAAGGGUUUCCUGUUUUCGUUCAGCAUCGAUGCUGUACCUUGAUGCUUUAACAGGCUAAGCAGAUGGUGAGAGUCCUCCGCCCUCUAGGAGCUUACAGUCUAACGUUUUAACAGCCAAUGGAGAGAGAGACAGGAAGGACAGAAGAGGCCAGAGGAGUGGCAGUGAGGAAAAUAAAUUACACCUCCCUAGGCUUCAGGCCAGGAUGAAGGUUUAUGCCAAAAGCACUUGGGGAGGGCGCUUUAAGAGAGCUCCAUUUCCAAAAUCCAGUAUGUCCAUUAGGGAUGAGUGAAUCGGUCCAUUUUGAUUCAUCUGCGUUUUGCAUUUUCCCAGCCUUUAGCUCAGUUCUCUGCAUCGGUUGCGAUGGCUUCUCCCCGCAUGAAAUCUUGUAUUUUGAAGCACGGCUUUUUGUGCUGAUCGCACUCCUGCCUGCCUGUCCCAAUGUCCCCCACGGUAUGCCAAACAACCCGUUCAGAUUCCUCGCCCCCGCUGUGUAGCAAGCACAACAAAUGUCAAAGAAAAGCCUUUAUAGUUCUGCGGUUCCAGUCUAUGCACUCUGCCUUAGCUGAAGGCCGCUAUCGACGGAUCCCCUAUGAAGAGAGCAUUUGCCCAUGUGCAGGGGGAAUGCGCCUGAAGAUUUACUAGGCUACUUACUGGUUUUCCAAUCUGUGAGGAUUCAUGAGCAGUCUUGUUCAAAGAUUUAAAUCUCCCAGUUGAGAAAUCAACUGGAUACAACUGGGUAUCUGAUCAAUUUUUUAUUAGGGAGCAGGUCACUCUACAGUUCUGAAAAGGUGGCCUGUGCUGCCUUUAGAGUGGCAAUUUUAAGGAGAAAAGUUUGUGGGGAUGAUCAGUGAAAUUUUUCAGAGGAGCAAACUCUUAUCUGACGUAAUGUCUGGCUUUCACGAUUAUUUUAACUGCAUACUGUGAUUUAUUCUGCUUUAUGCGUUUUGGGUUUCUGCAACGGCUUCAGCCACACAAAUACUGUAGUUUUUGCUCUAUAAGACUCACUUUUCCCCUCCUAAAAAGUAAGGGGAAAUGUGUGUGCGUCUUAGGGAGCGAAUGCAGGCUGCGCAGCUAUCCCAGAAGCCAGAACAGCAAGAGGGAUUGCUGCUUUCACUGCGCACCGAUCCCUCUUGCUGUUCUGGCUUCUGAGAUUCAAAAUAUUUUUUUUCUUGUUUUCCUCCUCCAAAUCUAGGUGGGUCUUGUGGUCUGGUGCGUCUUAUAGAGCGAAAAACACGGUAAAUAAUAUUCAUAUUCACAUCUGUGUGUGGGGUUUUUAAGUCCUCAUGGAAAUUUGUCUGCAUUUCAGUGCAAAUUUCUCCUAACAGACACAUUUUUCUUUGCAGUUUUGCCUAAUCUGCCUAGUAUUUCAAGGCAUAAAUAUUUAUAUUUUCCCAGAUGUUAUCUUCACAAACAUACACAUUUUCAUACAUGCUUUAUCCUAGUACAGUGGUACCUCGGGUUACAAACACUUCGGGUUACAGACUCUGCUAACCCAGAAGUAGUACCUCGGGUUAAGAACUUUACCUCAGGAUGAGAACAGAAAUCGUGCGGCGGCGGCAGCAGGAGGCCCCAUUAGCUAAAGUGGUGCUUCAGGUUAAGAGCAGUUUCAGGUUAAGAAUGGACCUCCAGAACGAAUUAAGUUCAUAACCAGAGGUACCACUGUAUACGCAUUUUUGUUCCCAUUGGUUGGCUGGAUAAAUGCACCACAACAUUCAGAGAAGUGCAGAUUUUGAAGGAUGGUUGAUUCAGCUCACUUCUGGUUUUAGAAAGUGCAGGUUUGCUAGACUCUCCUUUAAAUGCAAACUGAACCAAAUUUCUCUCUCCCGUCUCAAAUAUCCUUGUGUAGACGGCAGUGCUGAAAUAUGGCUCACCGUGUGCAGCUAGUUUGAUCUCUAUGCAAACAGAGGUUUGCAUAAUGACUUAAUCACUCCACUACCUAUUUUCUUAUUUUGCAUACUUUAUUAAUUACUGUCUCCUCCAGGGCGUUCAGCUUAUAAUUAUGUGACUUUCCUCCUUUGCAGAUCAACAUAAGUGAACAACAGCAAAGAUCGUGCUGUCAUAAGCAGCUGCUUCAGUUGGAUCGGUCCUGAAUUCGAGGGCUGGACCUGGCUUUUGCCCUGAUCUGAAUUUAACCCCUGAGUAACCCCUGUAGUGAGGAUGCCUGUGUCUCUUCGCCCCACCCUCCAUUACAUUCUUACACCAGUGGAGCUUUCAAGGUGUACCCAAACAACCUGGGAUGUUCUGGGGCUCCCUCAACCCAAUCUUGCUGAAUUCUGGGUUGAUCCAAAUCAGUCUGAUUUGGUUCGGGAUCCAGGAUUUGGCCAGAUCUGGUACAUAGUAACCUCCCUGGGAUUUGUGGGUAUAGGAAAGUAAACAAAUUUAAAUAUUAAUAUCAGCAACAACAACAACUCAACAUAGUCCCACUAAAUUCCUUUUUAACCCUGCACUGUGAUAAUCAGAGGAAGCUGAAUAUGUUAUACCCAAGAUGUGUUGUAUAACAAACCGACCAGAGCCCUAAUUAACACUAGCCUCGCCCUCAGAUUGAUUCAGGACUGACUGAGUCUGGGUUGGGUGGUCCCAGGUCCAGCCCAGGUCCCAGUGAUUUGGGGGUCUGGAUCAGGGCCCUGGAUCAGGUCUGUUCUGCAUGCGCAGCCCUAGUAUUUAUAUUCCACUCAUAUAAGGGGUAUAACAUUAACUUGGCAAAGUUUGUUUAGGUUGUUUGUUAUAUUAACCCCAGAAUACCCAAAUGUGUAUCUUGUUUGUGUGCGUGUAAUUUUCAUUUUCAUUUAAUUACAUUGUUUUCUCUCUGUGUAUCUCUCUGUCAAUACACUAUUGAAUUUUUAUUUUUAAAGGGAAUAUCAUACUCUGCCCUUCAGCCAAAACAGCUUACAGAUUUAUUUAUUUUUAACCUACAGUCCUUGCCUUUAGGCUUACAAUCUAAGAAGGCAUGACACAUAAGGAAGAAGGGAAGAGGGGGGCAGAGGAAAAUGAGAGAAUGCAUGAGAAGGACACAUGGGACCAACUGCAUAUCCUUGAUGCAAACACAGCAGCCAUGUCUGAAUAGCUGCUGUGGGCUGAUUUUUUAAACACCUCUCUCUUUUUUUGCUUCUUUUCUCACACACCCCUCCACCUCCAUUGCUGCUCCUGGUCGUCCCCCCCCCCAUUAAGAGCCAUUUUGAGACACUCUAUCCUGAAACCCUGGCUCGAGAGAUACACACAUCAGUGACAGGAGGCGCGAGAGGGGAAGGAGCUCCCGUUCCGUUGAAACACGUCCCCGUCUCUGCCUAAUACGGGGAGGCUCUGUAAUUACAAACAUAAGGAGAUCAAAGAGGGCUGUCCCCCGGGAUUCUUCCCUUUCAAGAUUAAAGACGCACUUUCAGGCUCGCUGUAUAUAUUUUGACACACAUUAUUAAAGCAUAAGCCCCCAACCUUUCUCCCUCCCAGACUUUGCAUUUGUAGUUUCACACACCCCCUCUCCACCUCUCUUGGUGGCUAAUUAUUACCACAAUCGUCCCCACCCCCUCUGUCGUGUAUUCAAAGUAUUAAUUUGGGUUUUAAAAAUACCAGCUGCUGGUUGUGUUGUUGGGCAUGUACCGUUCUGGCUUUUAUCUU
rnacentral:lncRNA from 1 species